rnacentral:rRNA from 1 species
UACGAAGGGGGCUAGCGUUGCUCGGAAUUACUGGGCGUAAAGCGCACGUAGGCGGAUCCUUAAGUCGGUGGUGAAAUCCUGAAGCUCAACUUCAGAACUGCCUUCGAUACUGGGGACCUUGAGUUCGGGAGAGGCGAGUGGAACUGCGAGUGUAGAGGUGAAAUUCGUAGAUAUUCGCAAGAACACCAGUGGCGAAGGCGGCUCACUGGCCCGAUACUGACGCUGAGGUGCGAAAGCGUGGGGAGCAAACAGG